rnacentral:rRNA from 1 species
AUUGAACGCUGGCGGCAGGCCUAACACAUGCAAGUCGAGCGGUAGAGAGGAGCUUGCUUCUCUUGAGAGUGGCGGACGGGUGAGUAAUGCCUAGGAAUCUGCCUGGUAGUGGGGGACAACGUUUCGAAAGGAACGCUAAUACCGCAUACGUCCUACGGGAGAAAGUGGGGGAUCUUCGGACCUCACGCUAUCAGAUGAGCCUAGGUCGGAUUAGCUAGUUGGUGAGGUAAUGGCUCACCAAGGCGACGAUCCGUAACUGGUCUGAGAGGAUGAUCAGUCGCACUGGAACUGAGACACGGUCCAGACUCCUACGGGAGGCAGCAGUGGGGAAUAUUGGACAAUGGGCGCAAGCCUGAUCCAGCCAUGCCGCGUGUGUGAAGAAGGUCUUCGGAUUGUAAAGCACUUUAAGUUGGGAGGAAGGGCAGUAACUUAAUACGUUGCUGUUUCGACGUUACCGACAGAAUAAGCACCGGCUAACUCUGUGCCAGCCGCCGCGGUAAGAC